CGGAGUAUAGCUUAAAUUAAAGCACCUCGCUUACACCGAAAAGAUAUAUGUUAAACUCA
rnacentral:tRNA from 1 species